rnacentral:rRNA from 1 species
AUUGAACGCUGGCGGCAUGCCUUACACAUGCAAGUCGAACGGUAACAGGUCUUCGGAUGCUGACGAGUGGCGCACGGGUGAGUAAUACAUCGGAACGUGCCCGAUCGUGGGGGAUAACGAGGCGAAAGCUUUGCUAAUACCGCAUACGAUCUACGGAUGAAAGCGGGGGAUCUUCGGACCUCGCGCGGACGGAGCGGCCGAUGGCAGAUUAGGUAGUUGGUGGGAUAAAAGCUUACCAAGCCGACGAUCUGUAGCUGGUCUGAGAGGAUGAUCAGCCACACUGGGACUGAGACACGGCCCAGACUCCUACGGGAGGCAGCAGUGGGGAAUUUUGGACAAUGGGCGAAAGCCUGAUCCAGCUAUGCCGCGUGCAGGAUGAAGGCCUUCGGGUUGUAAACUGCUUUUGUACGGAACGAAAAGCCUCUUUCUAAUAAAGAGGGGUCAUGACGGUACCGUAAGAAUAAGCACCGGCUAACUACGUG